CCGAAUUCGUCGACAACAGAGUUUGAUCCUGGCUCAGGACGAACGCUGGCGGCGUGCUUAACACAUGCAAGUCGAACGGUAAGGCCCCUUCGGGGGUACACGAGUGGCGAACGGGUGAGUAACACGUGGGUAAUCUGCCCUGCACUUCGGGAUAAGCCUGGGAAACCGGGUCUAAUACCGGAUAUGAACUCCUGCCGCAUGGUGGGGGUUGGAAAGUUUUUCGGUGCAGGAUGAGCCCGCGGCCUAUCAGCUUGUUGGUGGGGUAAUGGCCUACCAAGGCGACGACGGGUAGCCGGCCUGAGAGGGUGAUCGGCCACACUGGGACUGAGACACGGCCCAGACUCCUACGGGAGGCAGCAGUGGGGAAUAUUGCACAAUGGGCGAAAGCCUGAUGCAGCGACGCCGCGUGGGGGAUGACGGUCUUCGGAUUGUAAACCCCUUUCAGUAGGGACGAAGCGCAAGUGACGGUACCUGCAGAAGAAGCACCGGCUAACUACGUGCCAGCAGCCGCGGUAAUACGUAGGGUGCGAGCGUUGUCCGGAAUUACUGGGCGUAAAGAGCUCGUAGGCGGUUUGUCACGUCGUCUGUGAAAUCCCUCGG
rnacentral:rRNA from 1 species